UACGAAGGGGGCUAGCGUUGCUCGGAAUCACUGGGCGUAAAGCGCACGUAGGCGGAUUGUUAAGUCAGGGGUGAAAUCCUGGAGCUCAACUCCAGAACUGCCUUUGAUACUGGCGAUCUCGAGUCCGGGAGAGGUGAGUGGAACUGCGAGUGUAGAGGUGAAAUUCGUAGAUAUUCGCAAGAACACCAGUGGCGAAGGCGGCUCACUGGCCCGGUACUGACGCUGAGGUGCGCAAGCGUGGGGAGCAAGCAGG
rnacentral:rRNA from 1 species